rnacentral:tRNA from 1 species
GUCUUUAUAGUCUAAAGGUUAUGACAUUACCCUUUCACGGUAAAAAUACGAGUUCAAAUCUCGUUAAAGAUA